ensembl:lncRNA novel transcript, antisense to ACAT1
AUGCGCCACCACGACCGGCUAAUUUUUGUAUUUAUAGUAGAGACAGGGUUUCACCAUGUUGGCCAGACUGCUGUCGAACUUCUUACCUCAGGUGAGCUGCCCAUCUGGGCCUCUCAAAAGUGCCAGGAUUACAGACAUGAGCCCCUGUGUCCGGCCAGGUGUAGGAACUUUAUACCAUCUUCAGGUUACAGAAGUAAUGUGAGCUCCCAGCAUGGCCAAAAACAUGUUAUUUUGGUAAAUCAGGUUUUAGUGGCAACACAGGUUACGGGUAGGGAAAGGAGACCUGGCUAGGAAAGGUGGUCUUGUUAGAAGCUUUCUGAGAGAAUGGAUGUUAAAUGUUUAAGACCUUUAAAGGUGUCAGACAGGCUCUCAUUUAACCUUUUCUAGAUUCCAGACAAGGGAAGUCCUGGCUGCAUUAAUGGAGAUUCUCCAUAGACGCAGAUUUCUUUCAAAAAAGACAGCUUUGCAGCACCACUUCUGUUUGCUGGCCCUCUGAUAGCCAUCUCAAAAUAUGUCAAAUAAAUAUAAUUUGAGAGACGAAGUCUCACUAUAUUGCCCAGGCUGAUUUCGAACUCCGGGGCUCAAGCAAUCCUCCCACCUCAACCUCCGAAAGUGCUGGGAUUACAGGUGUGAGCCACCUCGCCUGGCCUUACCUACUAUUCUUGCCAGUGGUGUAACAUUGAGCCUCUUCGCUGCAUCUGCCGUCAUGAGAACCAGAGCAGCUGCUCCAUCAUUCAGUGUACUGG